rnacentral:pre_miRNA from 1 species
AUAAUACUCCAUCCGUCCGGAAUUACUUGUCAUCAAAAUGGAUGUGUCUAGAACUAAAAUACAUCUAGAUACAUCCAUUUCAAUGACAAGUAUUUUCGGACGGAGGGAGUAGUAG